rnacentral:rRNA from 1 species
UACGUAGGUGGCGAGCGUUGUCCGGAUUUACUGGGCGUAAAGAGCGCGCAGGCGGCUGGUCAAGUCCGAUGUGAAAGCUCCCGGCUUAACUGGGAAAUUGCAUCGGAAACUGAUCGGCUGGAAGGUGGGAGAGGGUAGCGGAAUUCCCGGUGUAGUGGUGAAAUGCGUAGAUAUCGGGAGGAACACCAGUGGCGAAAGCGGCAGACUGGACCCUUCCUGACGCUGAUGCGCGAAAGCUAGGGGAGCAAACGGG